rnacentral:rRNA from 1 species
GACGAACGCUGGCGGCGUGCUUAACACAUGCAAGUCGAACGAAAAGACGGAAAGAGCUUGCUCUUUUCAGAAUUGAGUGGCAAACGGGUGAGUAACACGUAAACAACCUGCCUUCAGGAUGGGGACAACAGACGGAAACGACUGCUAAUACCGAAUAAGUUCCAAGGGCCGCAUGGCCCAUGGAAGAAAAGGUGGCCUCUACCUGUAAGCUAUCGCCUGAAGAGGGGUUUGCGUCUGAUUAGCUGGUUGGAGGGGUAACGGCCCACCAAGGCGACGAUCAGUAGCCGGUCUGAGAGGAUGAACGGCCACACUGGAACUGAGACACGGUCCAGACUCCUACGGGAGGCAGCAGUGGGAAUCUUCCGCAAUGGGCGAAAGCUGACGGAGCAACGCCGCGUGAGUGAUGACGGCCUUCGGGUUGUAAAACUCUGUGAU